rnacentral:tRNA from 2 species
GGGCGUAUAGCUCAGCUGGUUAGAGCGCUACACUGAUAAUGUAGAGGUCCCUGGUUCAAGUCCAGGUAUGCCCACCA